rnacentral:rRNA from 1 species
UACAGAGGUCUCAAGCGUUGUUCGGAUUCAUUGGGCGUAAAGGGGGCGUAGGUGGCGGGGCAAGUCAGGUGUGAAAUCUCGGGGCUCAACCCCGAAACUGCACUUGAUACUGCCUUGCUAGAGUACUGGAGAGGAGAUUGGAAUUUACGGUGUAGCAGUGAAAUGCGUAGAUAUCGUAAGGAAGACCAGUGGCGAAGGCGAAUCGUC